AUGUCCCCUGUGUCCCCCCGCCAAAUUACGUCCAUGCUCAGGGAGAAGAUGAUCUGCUGGAUCCUGCUGCUCAUCAACCCGACCUCCUGUGUCUGUGGAACAUUUGUAGUGAAUGUGACACAGACCUCCUAUCAGGCAGAGGAGAACCAUAACAUCACACUGGAAUGGACGUUCACAACCAACACUGACAGUUCCCUCAACUCUCUUUCUAUCUACUGUACACUGAUUACUGAUCACAAGGUUUCAGUCCUGUAUGAUCUACAUGAGGGUGUCGAGGUCUCAGAGUCUCAGGAUGAACAGUUUAAAGGACGAGUCCAGUGUGACAAAGACGUCCUCAGAGAAGGACGAAUCAGACUUCAUGUGUCCAGACUCAGGACUGAAGACUCGGGCCUGUACCUGUGUGAAGUGAGAACAAAUUAUGGUUUGAGCUCUGACAGAUGUCGACUCAAUGUCACUGCAGCUGCUGAUGAGCCCAAACCUCAGAGACCAACAGAGAGUCCACAACCAGAGAGUCCACAACCAGAGAGUCCACAACCAGAGAGUCUGGGAAUGAUUGUCCUCUAUGUUGUACUGGGACUGACAGCAGCUCUACUGACUGUCUGUGGCGGACUCUGCUUUGCAUUCAGUCUUUGUAAAUAUGCUAAUAAGAAAAAAACGUCUCCCCAGCUGUACAGAUGUUGAUAACCCAUUAGACUGUUUAACACCUGACUGAUGAAACCAACAGACUCUGAGACUCUCUACCUUCAACAUCUGUUUCAAGUGUCAGAAAACUAUUUGUAAUAUGAAAUGUAUAUUUUUCUGUUAAAUGGUUUUAUGUUACUACAGGUUUAAGUUUAAACUAAGUUAUGUUAUAAUGUAAUGUCAUAAAUGAAGUAAUGUUAAUGAUGCUUCCACUGUGAUCCCAGAUGUUCCAUGUUUGAUGUCAGACAGUUAACAUCAGAAGUAGAGCAAAGACAUCUAAACAGCCAUCGUCUGAUUGAUCCUCCACUGUAAGCUCUCUAAAAUGUCCCAGUUGUUUGAGUUGUCAGUCUAUGAAGAGUUUCUCAGAGGAAUCAUUCACAUUGAGCUGUAAGUUGGUUCAGUCAUUGAUCGCUCUGUUCUCCCUCCAGCUGUUAUCAAUCAUCAGUCUUAAACAACGAGUCUGAAUCAACAAGAAAACAGCAUUAGAAGAGAAUUGUUCAUUAUUAUAUCUUAAUCCUCCUGAUGGAUAUUGUUACAAUGCACUGACUUUGUGCUCUUUAUAAUGUGUACAUAUUGUAAAUAAAUCUCUCUUUAUAUGAGAGAAGUUGUUAUCAAUCUUCUGUGUGUAAAUCUUUUAAUAUCAGACACCCAGAAGCUGUGAAUAUGUUCAAUAAAGUGCACACAGUGCAGAUCUCAGAUCUGUCUAAUAAGUGAUAGAGUUUGAUGAGGCGUCCUAUCAAAAUAAAGGACAGCGUAAAGGUGAACAACAGUGCAUUAUUUGUGUGUAUCAGUUGUGUACUUUGACUCUUAUACCAUGGCCACUUACUGAAGAAUAUAAAGGCAGGAUGGGUUUGAAUCUUUAGCAGCUUUUAACAUCAGAUAUUNNNNNNNNNNNNNNNNNNNNGACUAAAUCUGCUGAUAAGAAAUGAAACGUCUCUGCAGCUGUACAGAUGUUGACACAACCCAUCAGGACUAACAGGACUCUGUCUGGAGGACCGUCUUUCUGUCAGAAUGAGUCAUCAGAGUGUUUAACAACUGACUGAUGAAACCAACAGACUCUGAGACUCUCUACCUUCAACAUCUGUUUCAAGUGUCAGAAAACUAUUUGUUAUAUGAAAUGUAUACUUUUCUGUUAAAUGGUGUUCAUGUUACUACAGGUUUAAGUUUAAAUGAAGUUAUGUAAUAAUGUAAUGUCAUAAAUGAAGUAAUGUUAAUGAUGCUUCCACUGUGAUCCCAGAUGUUCCAUGUUUGAUGCACUGACUUUGUGCUCUUUAUAAUGUGUACAUACAGUAAAUAAAUCUCUCUUUAUAUGAGCGAAGUUGUUGUGAAUUUUCUGUGUGUAAAUCUUUUAAUAUCAGACACCCAGAAGCUGUGAAUAUGUUCAAUAAAGUGCACACAGUGCAGAUCUCAGAUCUGUCUAAUAAGUGAUAGAGUUUGAUGAGGCGUCCUAUCAAAAUAGAGGACAGCGUAAAGGUGAACAACAGUCCAUUAUGUGUGUCAGGUGUGUACUAUGGCCACUUACUGAAGAAUAGAGAGGCAGGAUACAAAUACAGAUGCAUUAUUAAAUGAAAUAAAAGAGACAAAUUAAACAUUUAAACAUGAUAUAACACCUGUCAAACUCUCCAACACUACACUCUUUUAAUCACUAACUUCAUAAGUACAAUCACAGCUUUAAAUUAUUCAGCAUUUAAUUCAACUCAAUAUAGACCAGUGAUCCACUGAUGUAAAGAACAGAUGAAACAUAUUAAAAACAUAUUUACUAUAUAUACUAUAUAUCAGGUCAGUGGAGAGACGCUGCUUCUGAAAACUGCAGCCGCCUUCAGUUGAUGAUUUUAAUAUGAAGCCUCAGAGAAAUUGAAUGUGAGAUUUGAAGUGAAACUGGAAACACAAAAUCAUAUAUAGAGUAUA
rnacentral:lncRNA from 15 species